rnacentral:ncRNA from 1 species
AGGUACUCCCGAAUCUCCCCUAUGAUGGGGGAGAUAGGGAUAACGGCUGGAUGGCACAGCCAGCGGUCCACCUGUUCGACCGUAGCGAGGGUGCUUUCGCCCCGCGAGAACAGGUCGUGGACCGCGAACCCUAAUAUCCCAACGCGGUACCGGGAAACCCCGGCGUUCACGCCGGGGA